ACCCAAGGAGGUGACACUUAAUUUGAGAUCUGAAGGAUGAAAAAGAUUCAGCCCUCUGGCCAGCCCGAAGAAGAGUUUUCAGGAAAGGGGAUGGGAGGCCGAUGCCCUGAGGGCUGGACGACGGGAGUGUUUACACCAUGUAAAAUGUCAAAGGGGCAAUAUGCAGGCUUGAUUUGUCCCUGUACCCUUUGAGCGCAACAGGAGGGCACAAGAUGAAGGCAAGCUCCAGCAUCAUUGUGGAUAUCAGAAGAGUGAAGCCUACAGGGUCUGGGAUCAGACUACUUUGGUUUCUGCUGGGUCUCUCCAUCUGCCAGCUAUCAGGUCCCUUAACCUGAGCCUCAGCUUUGCCAUCUGUAAAGUGGGAACUUCACAUGGCUAGUAAGAGGUGACUUCUGGGUUGGGACCCAGGUCUUUGUGACUCGAAGAUGCCUGCCCUGUAUCAUUUUACCUUUUCACCUUUUCCACAUCUCCCCUGUCUGGAUUUGCACACCCACGCUUUCAGUCGGGAGAACAUUUCCUUAAAGCAAACAUUUAAAUUUUACUUUUUUAUCCAUACAAAAAAAAUCUCAGGUUUUCUAAGCAAAUGAAUUUUUAAUACAAGAUAUCGAAUUUUUAAAUGUGUAGUAUCAAAUACCUCCUCUUUGUCCUUGUAACAUAUGGUGACAAUUUGCAAAUUAUUCCAAAGUAUUUCUAUCCUUUGCUAUAGGAAAUUAGAGCUGAGAAAUAACUUCAUUUUUACUGUGCUCAAAUAUAAAAUGGUCAGUUGAAAUGUGAUGUGUAUAGUCAAAGAGUGCAGAACAGUCAUAAUUAAACUCUAACUUCUCGUGUUCUAUUUUUUCUAAUUCUUUCAUUUAUAUCUUUAAUAUUUUUUGGAGCCAGUACAGCAUGACAAGAGAGUACUUAGAGUUUGGGAGUCUGACAACUUUGGGAAUAAUGUGAGUGCUACCAGGAAAAAGGGGUUAAUGACACAAGAAUAGUCCACUCAGCCUUCAGCCCAUUGUGAGAAAGAUCUUCUAUGUUUAAACCAAGUAUUUUU
rnacentral:lncRNA from 1 species